CCCUUAGAUGUUCUGGGCCGCACGCGUGCUACACUGAGUGGAUCAGCGGGUCAGGUUGCGCGAAAGUGUUUCCUAAUCUUUAAAUCCGCUCGUGAUGGGGAUUGACGGUUGCAAUUUUCCGUCAUGAACGAGGAAUACCUUGUAAGCGCGGGUCAUCAUCCCGCGCUGAAUACGUCCCUGCCCUUUGUACACACCGCCCGUCGCUCCUACCGAUUGAGUGGUCCGGUGAGGCUUUGGGAUCUGAGGGGAAAGAGCGUUUCGCUGUUUCUGCCCGGAAAACUCAGUCGAACCUUAUCAUUUAGAGGAAGGAGAAGUCGUAACA
rnacentral:rRNA from 1 species